ensembl:lncRNA
AGAAAGCCAACCUUCUGAAGGCGGAGGAAUUACAGUUGCAGAAACAGAUGGCCAACUGGAAUGUACACCCAAUAAAGACCCAGAGGACUGCUGGACAUUACGAAGGAAGCCUGGGAGGAGCAGCCAUGCCAACAGCGGACCCUGAUCGAGCAUGUCGGGGCCAUGAGGGCGAGAAUGAAGGCCAUCUAUCCCAUGAUCCAGGGAGACACGGCAACAGCAAGCCACCUACAACCGGUCGGCGCAACCCAGAGUGUUUUAGCCGGGCGACAAAGUGCUGGUCCUGGUGCCAACCACAGAGUGUAAAUUACUGGCUACUUGGCAAGGACCAUAUGAGGUCAUGGACGUGUGGGAGAAGUAAACUACAAGGUAAGGCAACCUGGAAAAAGAACCUGAGCAAAUUUAUCACGUUAACCUCUUAAAGAAGUGGCACGCCAUGGAGGUGCUGUUCAGCUGUCCAAGGAACCGGUGCGAGAAGAGGUGCAGGUGGGUCCCGGCCUGUCCCCCAUCAACGGCAGUUGGCCCGGGAACUGGUGGACCGUAACCCGGAUGUUUUCUCCUCUCUUCCCGGGCACACGGCGGUGACCCAGCACGAGAUACGCACCGUGCCGGGCAAAACGGUGAACCAGCACCGUACCGUGUGCCGGAGGCUCAUAAGGGGGCCAUUCAGGAGGAGGAUAUGCUCGCUUCAUAACCACGGUCAACCUCACAAAAGGCUACUGGCAGGUGCCCCUGACCCCGGCAGUCUAAGGAGAAGACUGCCUUGGCCACACAGGAGGGGAACUACCAGUAUACCCGGCUCCCCUUUGAUCUCCACGGGGCACCGGCCACGUUCCA